rnacentral:misc_RNA from 1 species
GAUGAAGAACGCAGCGAAAUGCGAUAAGUAAUGUGAAUUGCAGAAUCCAGUGAAUCAUCGAAUCUUUGAACGCACAUUGCGCCCGCCAGCAUUCUGGCGGGCAUGCCUGUUCGAGCGUCAUUUCAACCCUCGACCUCCCUUUGGGGAAGUCGGCGUUGGGGACCGGCAGCACACCGCCGGCCCUGAAAUGGAGUGGCGGCCCGUCCGCGGCGACCUCUGCGUAGUAAACCAACUCGCACCGGAACCCCGACGUGGCCACGCCGUAAAACACCCAACUUCUGAACGUUGACCUCGAAUCAGGUAGGACUGCCCGCUGAACUUAAGCAUAUCAAUAAGCGGAGGA